rnacentral:rRNA from 1 species
CGGGGGGAGCAAGCGUUGUUCGGAUUUACUGGGCGUAAAGGGCGCGUAGGCGGUCGUGACAAGUCACUUGUGAAAUCUCCGGGCUUAACUCGGAACGGUCAAGUGAUACUGUCGGACUAGAGUACAGAAGGGGCAACUGGAAUUCUCGGUGUAGCGGUGAAAUGCGUAGAUAUCGAGAGGAACACCUGCGGCGAAGGCGGGUUGCUGGGCUGAUACUGACGCUGAGGCGCGAAAGCCAGGGGAGCGAACGGG